rnacentral:misc_RNA from 1 species
UUUUUUUCUUGAGAAUGACGUUGUCCGAAUGAUGCACACAGUCUGGUGACGAAGUGCACGAGAAGAGUCUCGGUGAGGUCAGCAGACAGUCGUCUGCAGUAAUGAAGACUAAACUGAGAUUUCUUGUUUUAAUCCUCUGCGUCGUACUUGUUGUUCUUACCUGGGAGGUGUUUAGAAGACGCCAUCAUCAUCUGGAGUUGGCAGUGUCUACCUUUCCUCACCUUGUGAGCAGCAACAAGAGCACCCAGUCGACAGGAACAGCCCACGACCAGGAUUCUUCGACCACCUUGUACCCGACAGCUUCCGUCAAUCACGUGUCCUCAAAGCCCGAAGAUUCAUCGCUAAGCAAGAGAACUUGGUAUCAGCCGACCACUCUGUCCUACCCCACUAGUUCAUGUGCUGGAGGCUGGGAAUUCCGAAGCUCAUCUACUAUUUCCUCUGUCACAAACAGCUCGACAACGUUCGCUUCGUUGAACAGCCUCAACGGGUCCAGGGUGGUCUGCGCAUCCCUCCAAUACGGGUUGGGAAAUCAGAUGUUUCAGUAUGCUUCUCUUUUAGGGAUUGCCCUCAAAACAAACAGGAUACCGGUCGUUUUGAAGAGUUCGUCUCUGUUACACGAUGUGCUGCGUAAUACUUCGAUAAUUGACAAUUCUGUCAAAUACUCAGAUCAGUGCAACGAGAGCAUCAUGUGGGAGUCUGCAUGUUGCAAAUUUUCUCCACAGUUCUUCGAGCUGGAUCCAAACAAGAAUUAUACGAUUGGACUCUACCUGCAGUCGUGGCGAUACUUCUUUGAACACGAGGCGGAAAUACGCCAAGCGAUGAAGUUCAAGGACUCUGUAGUGUCCCAGGCUCAGCAGGUGGUUGACAGCCUGCGACAGAAAUACCACCGCACGCUGACAGGCGUCCACGUACGCAGGGGAGACUACCUGUACUAUACUGGUCAGGGAUUUAAGACAGCUCCUUUAGAAUAUCUUUUGCACGCCAUGGAUUACGUCAGAAAGCGGUUCGGUGACGUCGCUUUUGUUGUCUCCUCGGAUGACGUCAUAUGGUGCCAGGAACAGUUUGCAAACGCAAGUGACGUCAUUGUGCUGUCGGCCGAUUCGCCGCCUGCUGUUGACAUGAUGACUCUUGCGUCACUGGAUCACAUGAUCAUGACGGUGGGCACGUACGGGUGGUGGGCUAGUUUUCUGAACCCCGGGGUCGCCGUCUACUACCGAGACUUUGUACAUCCGGGUACAUCUCUAUCAGAAAGUUUCAACCCAAACGGAACGGACUACUACUGUCCAGUGUGGAUUUCUUUGUCGUGAAUGACAUCGUCAUCGUCAUCAGUAGUGUUGACAGCGGGGAUGUGUUUACUUGAAUGUGUUGUGUGGUGGUGAGACAGUCACAGAGUAGUGUCACGUCUGUGGGAUGUCGCCGGUGCUGAUGUUGAGGGCUUAUCAUCAUGGUUGUCAUCAGCUCCCCCUGUGGUUGUUGAAAGUGCUGAUCAGACAAGUCACUCUCUCACCUUCUGCUAUGAACAGAGGACUUACAGCUGUAUACAGAUGAUACAAACGUGUAUUUCUCUGAUACAAAUGAUCAGGAGAAUGACAUCAAGGACCUGAUACAAUGAAGCUCGUGUUUACAUUUGUCUUCCUGAUGACUUUCUUGAAUUAAUCGUUCACGUCUUGUGGAGAGAUUAAUUGCCAUCAUCUCAACUUUGUGCUUUUGCACCUGUCCCAUCUGCUGCGUCUAAUGGGAUUUUGUAAUAAACUUUACAGCUCAUUAAACAUUUUCAAAAUUC